GAUGAACGUUGGCGGUGUGCCUAAUACAUGCAAGUCGAACGGAGACUGUAGCGAUACUGUCUUAGUGGCGAACGGGUGAGUAACGCGUUGGUGAUCUGCCUCGAAGUGUGGAAUAACCUCCCGAAAGGGAAGCUAAUACCGCAUAGUCUCUCAAGGUUUAGAAAAUUGAGAGUAAAGGAUUUAUUCGCUUCGAGAGGAGCCUGCGUCCCAUCAGCUAGUUGGUAGGGUAACGGCCUACCAAGGCAAUGACGGGUAGGGGACCUGAGAGGGUGGCCCCCCACAAUGGAACUGAAACACGGUCCAUACACCUACGGGUGGCAGCAGUAGGGAAUAUUAGUAAUGGGCGAAAGCCUGAACUAGCAACGCCGCGUGUGCGAAGAAGGCCUUCGGGUUGUAAAGCACUUUUUGAGAGGAUGAGGAAGGACGGUACUCUCAGAAUAAGUCUCGGCUAACUACGUG
rnacentral:rRNA from 1 species